AUAGCUUCUCGGCCUUUUGGCUAAGAUCAAGUGUAUAAUAGCUAAAAAGACGAAACAACCUAAAUACCCAUCAAUUGAUGAAUGGAUAAAGAAAAUGUAUGUGUGUGAGAUAUAUAUGUAUCUCACUCAUGUAUAUAUAUCUCACACACA
ensembl:snRNA U2 U2 spliceosomal RNA